rnacentral:rRNA from 1 species
GACGAACGCUGGCGGCGUGCUCAACACAUGCAAGUCGAACGGAAAGGCCCCUUUGGGGGUACUCGAGUGGCGAACGGGUGAGUAACACGUGAGUAACCUGCCCUUGACUUCGGGAUAACUUCAGGAAACUGGGGCUAAUACCGGAUAGGAAUCCUUGCUGCAUGGUGGGGGUUGGAAAGCUUCGGCGGUUUUGGAUGGACUCGCGGCUUAUCAGCUUGUUGGUGGGGUAGUGGCUUACCAAGGCUUUGACGGGUAGCCGGCCUGAGAGGGCGACCGGCCACAUUGGGACUGAGAUACGGCCCAGACUCCUACGGGAGGCAGCAGUGGGGAAUAUUGCACAAUGGGCGGAAGCCUGAUGCAGCAACGCCGCGUGCGGGAUGACGGCCUUCGGGUUGUAAACCGCUUUCAGCAGGGGCGAAGCUUGUGGUGACGGUACCUGCAGAAGAAGCACCGGCUAACUACGUG